rnacentral:misc_RNA from 1 species
UCCAACUUAUCGCUGGCGGUCUCCUGAGAGUGCUUCCCUUACGGGAGUGGCAACACAGGACAAGGGUUGCGCUCGUUGCGGGACUUAACCCAACAUCUCACGACACGAGCUGACGACAGCCAUGCAGCACCUGUGCAAAUUGUGUAUUGCUACACUCGCCGGCUUUCACCGACUUAGAGAUGCAUGUCAAGGCUAGGUAAGGUUCUUCGCGUUGCAUCGAAUUAAGCCACAUACUCCACCGCUUGUGCGGGCCCCCGCCAAUUUCUUUGAGUUUUAAUCUUGCGACCGUACUCCCCAGGCGGCGCGUUUAACGCGUUAGCUUCGUUACCAAGGAAUUGCUUCCCCGACAACCAGUUGACAUAGUUUAGGGCGUGGACUAC